UACGAAGGGGGCUAGCGUUGCUCGGAAUCACUGGGCGUAAAGGGUGCGUAGGCGGGUCUUUUAAGUCAGGGGUGAAAUCCUGGAGCUCAACUCCAGAACUGCCUUUGAUACUGAGGAUCUUGAGUACGGGAGAGGUGAGUGGAACUGCGAGUGUAGAGGUGAAAUUCGUAGAUAUUCGCAAGAACACCAGUGGCGAAGGCGGCUCACUGGCCCGGAACUGACGCUGAGGUGCGAAAGCGUGGGGAGCAAACAGG
rnacentral:rRNA from 1 species